UUUCCGUAGGUGAACCUGCGGAAGGAUCAUUAUUGUAUCACCCAGGUGCGAGGUCUCUCGCUCACCUGCCAGUUCGUGCAUGCCCGAGUGCCCUCCCUCACAUCCAUCUCCCCCCUAUGUGCACUAUCGCGUGGGUCCCCCUUAGGCCUGUUCGGUGGGGGGCUUACGUCUUCCCUCAAACUUUGUAUUCAGUGUAUAAUGUCUUUUUUGUUCUUGCGAUCCCUCUAUCAUUACCACUUUCAACCACGGCUCUCUUGGCCCUCGCUCCGCUGAAGAACC
rnacentral:misc_RNA from 1 species